AGGACUUGCCGCCCAGUUGUUGUCGUGGUGACUGGGCGGGAUUAUUUCGACGAUCGAGUUUGUUUGCACCAUGUCGGUGUGAGUGCAGGAGCCGAGCAAUAACGACAGUAUCGACUGCGCCCAGAAAAUGUCUGGACGGUCUUUCAAGGACGCGGGUUCAAUUCCCGCCAUCUCCACUC
rnacentral:tmRNA from 1 species